rnacentral:misc_RNA from 1 species
UUUCCGUAGGUGAACCUGCGGAAGGAUCAUUCAUAAUAAAGUGUUUUAUGGCACUUUUUAAAAAUCCAUAUCCACCUUGUGUGCAAUGUUAGAUCUCGUCAAUCUUGGCGAGAUUUUUAUACAUCAACUCAUUUUUUAACUAAUUUGUCUGAAAAAUAUUAUGAAUACUUAAUUCAAAAUACAACUUUCAACAACGGAUCUCUUGGCUCUCGCAUCGAUGAGAACGCAGC